rnacentral:rRNA from 1 species
ACUAAGUGUUAUUAUACUUAUAUAUACAAUUACAACAGUGAAUACAUUUCACUUACGCAACUGCAGACAGCUGCUUAAUACAGUCACACUUGUCUUGACUUGGCUAUUUMAAACAUACAACCGCUWACAUYYYCGCAUKGUAUWMCWCSSYUMCGWAGGMAARGAAAACMCGKUGUUUYCUYCMUGGRAAGYSGGGGGGYUUCAUCCCCMCCRGGUUAUCCACCAAUAAAACCUUUAAKGAAUACYCCAGGRAAAGUUGGMUAAAUACGGWACGRAGUUCACUUACUUUACUUUACAMAAUCCCCSCCGGMAUAAUACAAMAUUGCWUUACUUUUCUGUUGKGCGSGCGSGSGUGAUUUWAAAAACAAYUGUAWUAUWAAUUUAUUWWUACCUGCCUWCGWAACCAAASGCKAAAUGCUUGYGUUGACUCRUAGUUAUAAUUAUWUUAUACAWUUAGACUAUAYACUCAGCACUCARUGGUARACUUAUGCGUCUGYGAUCACUUCUGUCCUCGGACAAUGCACUUACGUAUUGAUGUKGUUCUAAACUGCAACAWGAGAGACAUUGAGCMCGCAGUSUUUUGGUCACUUGUGACUGAUUGACAUCUACGCUGAGCAGACUUUGAGAUUCUUUUAAUUUCGAAGCAUGUCAUACAAGCAUCUACAGCAUCAAGUCACAGGGUUGGCAAGUGUAUUAUUGAACCUUCAAAGCAGUCACGCAUACGGAAGAGUAGUUUCUGAUCCCAUAGAAGGAGCACCGUACAAUGAGAGACCGCUYUUAGUUCUAAGGAACGCAGCAGGCGCGUAAAUUGCCCAAUGCUAGUACCCUACUAUCAUUAAAUAAACAAUUUCGCAGACAUACCGUAUAUUAACACUUACUAAACUAUCAUAUAUACUAAUACAAUUAACCUUGUUACGCUGCGCACUCAAAUUAUUUAACAAAUCAUUUACUGAGGCAGUGACAAGCUGUAACGGUUGAGUAUAAUAAUGACGAGUGUCUGGCAUUGCCGCUGCCUUCGGGUUAGCUUGGCAAUAUUGCCGACGCUUUGUGUGCUCAAUUGGAAUGCGGUGAGUUUAAGCAACUCAGAACCUUUGGAUGGUAGUUCUUGAUCUNNNNNNNNNNNNNNNNNNNNNNNNNNNNNNNNNNNNNNNNNNNNNNNNNNNCCGCGGUAAUACCAGCUCCACUGGCCUAUACAAUCAUUGUUGCGGUUAAGAGGCUCGUAGUUGGAUUGAACAAUUGUGUAACUCUUACGCUCGCGUAGCUCACAAGUGUACUAAGCGAUGUAUCAUGUGCAUAUGUCGUACUCUACACACGUGUUUCUAAACACCACACAUAGCGCCCCACACAUCUUAUAUAUGAGAUAUAUUAUCACACGAAUUAUACCGUGACACGCUCGAGACGCGAGAUAAUAUAUUUUUACACUGUGAGCACAUCAGAGAGUAUCUCACACAUGGUAUUUGAAUACGCACAGAAUGUCUUAUCACGGGAGGUGUCCCUUUUAUUAUAUAUAUGACCGUUUGGCUAAACUAUACACUCAUUACUCGUAUUCAGCUUUAGCGGACAGACUCUUUAUUGAGUCUCUUUUUUUGUUAAAAUAAUUAUGUCGAUGGGGAUAGUUGGAGUCAACAGUACUGCUGGGCGAGAGGUGAAAUUCAUUGACCCUAGCAAGACUACCAAAAGCGAAAGCAGUUGGCUAGGCUAUACUCUUUGUGAGAUUGUUUUAUCCAUUUGCACCGGGCGUGUGUGACGUGAUGCGGCUGUCGUAUAUACUAAUAACACAUAUCAUCUAUUUAUACAACAGCACACGCACGCCCGCUCCACUGAUUUUCUUUUGUUGUAAUAACAACAAUAAUAAAAACAACACACUUUACAAUGAAGAACGAAGGUUGGGGGAUCAAAGAGGAUCAGAUACCCUCGUCGUCCCAUUAAUUACAUCAAACGAUGGGCUCUCAAUUGCAUUAUUAAUAAUAAUAGCAUAUGACCUCAACCUACUAAAUCUUAUUAACUCUGGCUUGAGCUCGUAGUUCGCUACGCUCGCCUAAACUUAUAUUGAUUUCUAUGUACGGUCUCAAUGAAGACAUAUGCAUUCUGUACUAAAAUUUAGCGUGUCUCGCUAUACAACUAAACGUAUCAAUCUGAUCUUUAUUGUAUCUAGUUAUUGAACUUUAGUUUGCGACACUUGAUUUUCGGAGCUUUGCGCUCAAUUCUGGUGAGAUGUAAGCACCAUGUUACGUGACCCGCAACGUAUACCUAUCGGGUAUUUCGCUUGUCGUGCGUCACUAACACUACAUUUAUUUUGGUGUGAAGCACGCUUUAGGCACGCGCUUACUGCAGAAAUGUCUGAGACAUUCCCCUCCGGGGGUAGUAUGCACGCAAGUGUGAAACUUGAAGGAAUUGACGGAAGGGCACCACAAGAACGCGUGGAGCAUGUGGCUUAAUUUGACUCAACGCGGGAAAUCUUACCGGGUCCGGACACACUGAGGAUUGACAGGCAAUAUUACAGUUUGAACUCUUUACUGAGUAUCGAUUGUAUGUUAAAUAUGCUAGUCCUUUCAUGAUUAUGUGAUAGGUGGUGCAUGGCCGUUCUUAGUUCGUGGAGUGAUCUGUCUGCUUAAUUGCGUUUCACUAAGGAACUAUAUUAUUCAUGUAUGUUGUUAGCGCAUUGACCCCUCGUUUUCUCUGUAAAUACUUUUCCCCCAAGAAAAUGGACGCCCAUUUUUAAUGGGAGCGUGGGGCUUUGAUUCUUACCUUUAGCUCAUACCAUUAGUUCCUGAAAGGAAAGAAAGGGACCGCAACCCCUUGUUGCCUUCAUUUCCAAUACGCGUGAAUAUAUUUGUUUUCGAUCAAGUAUCUGAAGUGUAUACGGAGGCUUUCUAAAUUUGAAGGACCGCUGGUAUCUUCUUUAACCCUAAGAAGGGUGCGGGGAUAACAGGGUUGUGAUGCCCUUAUAUGUUCCGGGGUGCCCACCUGCUACCAUGAUUAUUGCAGUGAGGAUCUCAUUUUAAAUUUAAUACUUCACAAGCGCGAGUCCGUUUGUUCUUUGUUUCUUUUCAUGCUGUUCAAAGCUUCAAAUGAGUAUCUCUGCCCCCCAUAAAGCCUGCUUUGAAAGUUUAAUGGGGUAUCAAUUAAAAAAAAUGAUUUCCUAAAUUUAUCGCACKUAWAKGUWUGGGGKYUUUACCCCRCUACCUUUUGUGCUAGARUKCGRGKGUAUYGACGAWUGGAUUUMWUGUWAAYCAAUUKMCUAAUYKUAUGGURCCUUWCCUGCAAWUGUCAAUUCAUGGGGGGGRGCAGCACCWWYKUACAUUGGUGGKSGUSGGYYUUCAACURRGAAWKCMUKGWACSGGUCUUUGGGUUCAACMGMMCMMCMGGAAUACGUCCCUGCCCUUUGUACCCYCCSCCCGUCCGCUUUWMCCGAWGGAMUUCUUCUGGKAGUUUGAGGGGAUGGGUYGYKCUAAUCCUGGGAAACUCUGUUUCUCAAGAUUAUAAUAGACCUAUGAAACUAAUC